AUGCGAUAAGUAAUGCGAAUUGCAGAAUUCCGCGAGUCAUCGAAUCUUUGAACGCACAUUGCGCCUGCCAGUAUUCUGGCAGGCAUGCCUGUCCGAGCGUCAUUUCAACCCCCAGGCCUUCGUUGCCUGUUGUUGGGGCAUUCAGGGGGGUCCGACGGACCCCCCUGAGCCCUGAAAAUCAGUGGCGGGCCUGCCAGGUCACCGAGCGCAGUAAUCUCUCUCGCUCAGGGGCCCUAGCUGGUGCUAGCCGUGAAAACACACACCUACGAACAGUGGUUUGACCUCGGAUCAGGUAGGAAUACCCGCUGAACUUAA
rnacentral:misc_RNA from 1 species